rnacentral:rRNA from 1 species
AACGCUAGCUACAGGCUUAACACAUGCAAGUCGAGGGGAAACGACAUUGGAAGCUUGCUUCCGGUGGGCGUCGACCGGCGCACGGGUGAGUAACGCGUAUCCCACCUGCCCACCACUUGGGAAUAACCUUGCGAAAGUAAGACUAAUGCCCAAUGACAUUGAGUGCAGACAUCUAAUCUCAAUUAAAGAUUUAUCGGUGAUGGAUGGGGAUGCGUCUGAUUAGCUUGUUGGCGGGGUAACGGCCCACCAAGGCAACGAUCAGUAGGGGUUCUGAGAGGAAGGUCCCCCACAUUGGAACUGAGACACGGUCCAAACUCCUACGGGAGGCAGCAGUGAGGAAUAUUGGUCAAUGGGCGAGAGCCUGAACCAGCCAAGUAGCGUGCAGGAUGACGGCCCUAUGGGUUGUAAACUGCUUUUAUAAGGGAAUAAAGUGAGUCUCGUGAGACUUUUUGCAUGUACCUUAUGAAUAAGGACCGGCUAAUUCCGUGCCAGCAGCCGCGGUAAUACGGAAGGUCCGGGCGUUAUCCGGAUUUAUUGGGUUUAAAGGGAGCGUAGGCCGGAGAUUAAGCGUGUUGUGAAAUGUAGACGCUCAACGUCUGCACUGCAGCGCGAACUGGUUUCCUUGAGUACGCACAAAGUGGGCGGAAUUCGUGGUGUAGCGGUGAAAUGCUUAGAUAUCACGAAGAACUCCGAUUG